rnacentral:rRNA from 1 species
UACGUAGGGUGCAAGCGUUAAUCGGAAUUACUGGGCGUAAAGCGUGCGCAGGCGGUUUGGUAAGACAGAUGUGAAAUCCCCGGGCUUAACCUGGGAAUUGCAUUUGUGACUGCCCGGCUAGAGUGUGUCAGAGGGGGGUAGAAUUCCGACGUGUAGCAGUGAAAUGCGUAGAUAUGUGGAGGAAUACCGAUGGCGAAGGCAGCCCCCUGGGAUAACGCUGACGCUCAUGCGCGAAGCGUGGGAGCGAACGGGAGUGAGAACCC